rnacentral:rRNA from 1 species
CGCGCAGGCGGGUUUGUAAGUCAGAGGUGAAAUCCUACAGCUCAACUGUAGAACUGCCUUUGAUACUGCAAGCCUUGAGUUCGGAAGAGAGAGAUGGAAUUCCAGGUGUAGUGGUGAAAUACGUAGAUAUCUGGAAGAACACCAGUGGCGAAGGCGAUCUCUUGGUCCGUAACUGACGCUGAGGCGCGAAAGCGUGGGGAGCAAACAGGAUUAGAUACCCUGGUAGUC